GAUGAACGCUGGCGGCGUGCCUAAUACAUGCAAGUCGAGCGAACAGACGAGGAGCUUGCUCCUCUGACGUUAGCGGCGGACGGGUGAGUAACACGUGGAUAACCUACCUAUAAGACUGGGAUAACUUCGGGAAACCGGAGCUAAUACCGGAUAAUAUAUUGAACCGCAUGGUUCAAUAGUGAAAGACGGUUUUGCUGUCACUUAUAGAUGGAUCCGCGCCGCAUUAGCUAGUUGGUAAGGUAACGGCUUACCAAGGCGACGAUGCGUAGCCGACGUGAGAGGGUGAUAGGCCACCCUGGAACUGGGCCACGGUCCAGACUCCUACGGGAGGCAGCAGUAGGGAAUCUUCCGCAAUGGGCGAAAGCCUGACGGAGCAACGCCGCGUGAGUGAUGAAGGUCUUCGGAUCGUAAAACUCUGUUAUUAGGGAAGAACAAAUGUGUAAGUAACUAUGCACGUCUUGACGGUACCUAAUCAGAAAGCCACGGCUAACUACGUG
rnacentral:rRNA from 1 species